UUGAUGGACAGUCUGGGAAGGGUA
rnacentral:piRNA from 1 species